rnacentral:misc_RNA from 1 species
UACGUCGGUGGCAAGCGUUGUCCGGAAUUAUUGGGCGUAAAGCGCGCGCAGGCGGCUUCUUAAGUCUGAUGUGAAAGCCCACGGCUCAACCGUGGAGGGUCAUUGGAAACUGGGGAGCUUGAGUGCAGGAGAGGAGAGUGGAAUUCCACGUGUAGCGGUGAAAUGCGUAGAGAUGUGGAGGAACACCAGUGGCGAAGGCGGCUCUCUGGCCUGUAACUGACGCUGAGGCGCGAAAGCGUGGGGAUCAAACAGG